rnacentral:sRNA from 1 species
UACUAAAAUCAAUGGAGUUAGUGAAGAUGGUUUCAAGCUUCGCUUGUUUCCAUUUUCACUUGGAGAUAAA